GUCCCCUCUGGAACAACAGAUGAAAUCGGACCGAUUCAGAAAGGAUCAGCGUGACCAUUUAGCAAAGAUGACACUCACAAAACAAUAAAUUCUAUUUUUUUUC
rnacentral:snRNA from 1 species